rnacentral:rRNA from 1 species
AGUGGGGAAUCUUGCACAAUGGAGGAAACUCUGAUGCAGCGAUGCCGCGUGAGUGAAGAAGGCCCUUGGGUUGUAAAGCUCUUUCGUCGGGGAAGAAAAUGACUGUACCCGAAUAAGAAGGUCCGGCUAACUUCGUGCCAGCAGCCGCGGUAAUACGAAGGGACCUAGCGUAGUUCGGAAUUACUGGGCUUAAAGAGUUCGUAGGUGGUUGAAAAAGUUAGUGGUGAAAUCCCAGAGCUUAACUCUGGAACUGCCAUUAAAACUUUUCAGCUAGAGUAUGAUAGAGGAAAGCAGAAUUUCUAGUGUAGAGGUGAAAUUCGUAGAUAUUAGAAAGAAUACCAAUUGCGAAGGCAGCUUUCUGGAUCAUUACUGACACUGAGGAACGAAAGCAUGGGUAGCGAAGAGGAUUAGAUACCCUCGUAGUCCAUGCCGUAAACGAUGUGUGUUAGACGUUGGAAAUUUAUUUUCAGUGUCGCAGGGAAACCGAUAAACACACCGCCUGGGGAGUACGACCGCAAGGUUAAAACUCA